rnacentral:rRNA from 1 species
UACAGAGGGUGCAAGCGUUAAUCGGAAUGACUGGGCGUAAAGGGCGCGUAGGUGGCUGAUUAAGUUAGAUGUGAAAUCCCCGGGCUUAACCUGGGAACUGCAUUUAAUACUGGUCGGCUAGAGUGUGGGAGAGGUAAGUGGAAUUUCCGGUGUAGCGGUGAAAUGCGUAGAUAUCGGAAGGAACACCAGUGGCGAAGGCGGCUUACUGGCCUAACACUGACACUGAGGCGCGAAAGCGUGGGGAGCAAACAGG